rnacentral:rRNA from 1 species
GAUGAACGCUGGCGGCGUGCUUAACACAUGCAAGUCGAACGGAAAGGCCCAAGCUUGCUUGGGUACUCGAGUGGCGAACGGGUGAGUAACUCGUGGGUGAUCUGCCCUGCACUUCGGGAUAAGCCUGGGAAACUGGGUCUAAUACCGGAUAGGACCACAUUUUGGAUGGUGUGGUGGAAAGUUUUUCGGUGUGGGAUGAGCUCGCGGCCUAUCAGCUUGUUGGUGGGGUAAUGGCCUACCAAGGCGUCGACGGGUAGCCGGCCUGAGAGGGUGUACGGCCACAUUGGGACUGAGAUACGGCCCAGACUCCUACGGGAGGCAGCAGUGGGGAAUAUUGCACAAUGGGCGCAAGCCUGAUGCAGCGACGCCGCGUGGGGGAUGACGGCCUUCGGGUUGUAAACUCCUUUCGCUAGGGACGAAGCGCAAGUGACGGUACCUGGAGAAGAAGCACCGGCUAACUACGUG